AAUAACAUUUUGAUUUUUAAUCGACGUUUCGACUAGUUUGUAGUCAUCCUCGGGAUUGUUAAUCCUGAGGAUGACUACAAACUAGUCGAAACGUCGAUUAAAAAUCAAAAUGUUAUU
rnacentral:miRNA from 1 species